rnacentral:rRNA from 1 species
UACACACACGCUACAAUGGUCUGUACAAUUGGUUGCCAAGCCGCGAGGCGGAGCCAAUCCGUAAAGCAGGCCUCAGUUCAGAUUGCAGUCUGCAACCCGCCUGCGUGAAGCCGGAGUUGCUAGUAACCGCAGGUCAGCUAUACUGCGGUGAACUACGUUCCCGGGGCGUU